rnacentral:rRNA from 1 species
GACGAACGCUGGUGGCGUGCUUAACACAUGCAAGUCGAACGGAAAGGCCCUGCUUGCAGGGUACUCGAGUGGCGAACGGGUGAGUAACACGUGGGUGAUCUGCCCUGCACUUCGGGAUACGCCUGGGAAACUGGGUCUAAUACCGGAUAGGAGCCAUUUUUAGUGUGAUGGUUGGAAAGUUUUUUCGGUGUAGGAUGAGCUCGCGGCCUAUCAGCUUGUUGGUGGGGUAAUGGCCUACCAAGGCGGCGACGGGUAGCCGGCCUGAGAGGGUGGACGGCCACAUUGGGACUGAGAUACGGCCCAGACUCCUACGGGAGGCAGCAGUGGGGAAUAUUGCACAAUGGGCGCAAGCCUGAUGCAGCGACGCCGCGUGGGGGAUGACGGCCUUCGGGUUGUAAACUCCUUUCGCUAGGGACGAAGCUUUUGUGACGGUACCUAGAGAAGAAGCACCGGCUAACUACGUG